CACUGGUCGAGUGAUCCUGCGCCGAAGAUUUCCGGGGCUAAAACUUACUACCGGAGCAACGGCGUCAGUAAUGAUGGGUAGGGGAGCUUCCCAUACGGGUUGAAGCAUGACCGUAAGGACAUGUGGACAGUAUGGGGGUGAGAAUGUUGGCAUGAGUAGCGAGAUGUGGGUGAGAAUCCCACAGGCCGUAAACCCAAGGUUUCCAGGGGAAGGUUCGUCCGCCCUGGGUUAGUCGGGACCUAAGCUGAGGCCGAAAGGCGUAGGUGAUGGACAACAGGUUGAUAUUCCUGUACUACCGAUAACCGUUUG
rnacentral:rRNA from 1 species